rnacentral:rRNA from 1 species
CGCACGAGCGCACCCUCGUCCUUAGUUGCCACCAUUCAGUUGGGCACUCUAGGGAGACUGCCGGCGUUAAGCCGGAGGAAGGUGGGAAUGACGUCAAGUCAUCAUGGCCCUUAUGCCCAGGGCUACACACGUGCUACAAUGGGCGGUACAAAGGGUUGCCAUCCCGCGAGGGCUCGCCAAUCCCAAAAAACCGCUCUCAGUUCGGAUUGGAGUCUGCAACUCGACUCCAUGAAGCUGGAAUCGCUAGUAAUCGCGGAUCAGCAUGCCGCGGUGAAUACGUUCCCGGGCCUUGUACACACCGCCCGUCGUACCAUGGAAGCCAGCUGUACCGGAAGUCGGUGGGCUAACCCGCAAGGGAGGUAGCCGCCUAUGGUAUGACUGGUGACUGGGGUGAAGUCGUAACAAGGUAGCCGUAGGGGAACCUGCGGCUGGAUCA